CCUACGGGUGGCAGCAGUGAGGAAUAUUGGUCAAUGGGCGCUAGCCUGAACCAGCCAAGUCGCGUGAAGGAUGACUGUCCUAUGGAUUGUAAACCUCUUUUAUAUGGGAAUAAAGUGCGGUACGUAUACUGCUUUGUAUGUACCUUAUGAAUAAGGAUCGGCUAACUCCGUGCCAGCAGCCGCGGUAAUACGGAGGAUCCGAGCGUUAUCCGGAUUUAUUGGGUUUAAAGGGUGCGUAGGCGGGUUGUUAAGUCAGGUGUGAAAGUUUGGGGCUCAACCGUAGAAUUGCAGUUGAUACUGGCAGGCUUGAGUACGUGAGAGGUAGGCGGAAUGCGUGGUGUAGCGGUGAAAUGCGUAGAUAUCACGCAGAACUCCGAUUGCGAAGGCAGCCUGCCGGACUGUAACUGACGCUGAUGCACGAAAGUGUGGGUAUCAAACAGGAUUAGAUACCCGUGUAGUC
rnacentral:rRNA from 1 species